UUAAGUUCAGCGGGUAGUCCCGCCUGAUUUGAGGUCAAGUUUCGAUAAAGUUUGUCUUUCGACGGUUGGAAGCAGGUCCCCCACAAUCGUGGCGUACCACCACGGCGUAGACAAUUAUCACACCGGGGGCGGCACCACAAGGGUCUCGCUAAUGCAUUUGAGAGGAGCCGAUCCGCGAGGACCAGCAAAGCCUCCAAGUC
rnacentral:misc_RNA from 1 species